UCUAUGUGAUUAAUAAUAACACCUAUUCGUUUCAUGGAAAAGCGAAAACAUGUACUCGGUGAUAAAAUUUACUGAAAAAGACGGCGGAACCGUAUCAUUAGUGAACAACCAGUGGUUUACGCCAAGGAGAUGCGAAUAUCAAAUUCUACGGACAUCACUCGGCAGUUCGUAGUCCCGGCCGCCAUCAUGCUUUGUACUGCUGCUCCAGCUAUCCUCCAGUGCAACUUGAAGGCCUAAUCCAUGCACACAUCGGUGUUUUUUUAUAUCUAUGUAAUACACUUGUCAUUGGCGAAGGUCCACGAGGCUGCCAUAUUGAAUAGAGAGAAAUUCUUUAAAUUCUCUAAUUUGAAAUCGCGAGUACCUAUUUCGUAUAAUCACAUUAUUUUCAUAAAAUGACUUGAGGACCCCUUCCAUUGACAUGAAUGCACGGAACUACAAGCCGGCUUCUUUUCUGCGUUGGGGUUCUUCGAUUUGGAGGUUACGUUCAAAGGUAGCGCGGAGCUGAUGCUUCCCG